UGACACAUAAAGUAUAAAUAUUAUUUAUAUUAUUGGGUAAAAUGUGACGUUUCUUUGUAUGUCUGCAUCAGAUAGGGUCUAGUGUGCCUCCACUAUAAAUCUGUUUAAAUCUAUCUCCUCAUUUAAUACUUCUUUAUGGUGAAAACUUACAAAAUCUUUUCUUCUGACUUUUUCAAAUGUGCAAUACACUGUUGUUUCCUAUAGUGUGAGUACUGUGUAUUACAAAAUUACUAGUGAUCUGGGGCCUAGAUUGAAAAGGCCUUCUACGACCUUGCUUUCAGGUACAUUGUUUAAUUUCAGAGCUUAACAAUCUUUUUUUUUUUUUUUUUUUUUUUUUUGGUACUGAGAAUCAAACUCAGGACCUCGUGUUUUCCAGGCAGGAACUGUGCCUCUGAGCUACAUCUCCAGCCCAGCAGUAACUUUUAUUAAGAAUAACUAGUAAUAUAUAUUAAUAACAUUGUAAUAAAACCGCUUAAUCUUCAUAGGUUUUUUAUUAGCAAUAGUUUUUGCAGUGACAAAUAACUGACAUAAUUAUUAACUUGCAUUAGUACGCACUUAUAAUGUUAACUAAUAAAAAUGUUGUUUUUUUUUAAUUUUUGUAACUAAUUACCAGAGACUCAGUGCCUCAAAACAGCAGAAACAUUAUUGUUUUACAAUUCUGGGAAUCAGAAAUCUGUGAGGCCAAAAUCAUGGUAUGAACAGGGUUAUCAUCAGAGGCUCAGUGGUCAGAGUCUAUUUUGUCACUCUUCUUUACAUUUAAAAUUUAAAAGCACAGAAUCAAGAAGAUCAGAAAACAGUUUAAGACUUGGUAGCUUCAAAAAACUAUCACGUUUACAUUGUUAUUAUUCUUUGCUUAAUGGCACACCUCUGUCCUGUGACAGAAUUUUCCCCAGAUGAGGAGGAGCCAGAGACCUUUUGGGAGGGGAUGUUUGUGGUUCCACAGUGAAAGCAAGUUGCUCUUCCUGUGAUUUCUGAAGAAGGAAAAAGCCCUUAUGUUUGGUGGAGAAUGUACAAAUGUAUCGGGAUACAGAUCCACUUCUUGUAAUAUAGUGCAUUCUAACAAUUCCAAAGAAAGGAAACUGGGUAUUUUGUCUCAGCAAGGAGAGAAGAGUAACCAACACAAACAGUGAAUGAAAAGAAAAAGACUCUUUCAUCCCCUAUAUCCUAUGAUGUAAUUUCCAUGGUGAUAUUUCCUCUCAUCUGUAAAAAGAACUCCAUUUCAUCAUAACAUUAUUUGCUUUCUGCUUGAACUUUCUCUAUGCAGAUGGUACAGUGUUCUGCUGAGGAGUCAGACCACUGCCCAUAUAAGAGUGUGGACUGUUUCCAUUUUAACACCAACACCUCUCUCUGAUGAUUUCUGCCACAUGCCUAUCAUCAGGAGAUAAUGUGCAGCUGACCCUAAGAUCUUGAUCUAGGUCCAUUUGACCCAGCCUGUGGGGUCUGUGACCUCCACUUAAAAAGAAAAGUUAGACAGUAGACAUUGUGAUUAGUUAACUGUCAGCUGUCCCAAGUUCUAUAAUUUCUUGUUCCUUUGUGUCUGCAGUGAAAAGGAAAAAAAAGGAACUGUGAUUUUCACUACUUUAUUGUAAGCUGUAUUGAUGGUGGCAGUGGCGGUGUCUGGAAUGAAUCAUGUUCUGGAGAUGUUCAAGCUCUAUUUGCUGUCUUCUGAGUUCAGCAAUUGCCUUUGCCUUUUAGCCUCUUCCUAAGAAGCAGGAAAGAGAAAUUGUAAAGCUUAGCAAAAAUAAAGUUUAGCUUCUUUCUUUUGCCUAAA